UUGGUCCGUAACCAACACCAUAGAUAUUCACCGUGGUGUAGUUUACAUGAACUUCCCAAAAUAGCAAAGGAUGCAUCAUCAUGGUUUAAUUUGUAUAAUCAAAGACAACCACUUGUUCAGUGAAUAACAGAAAUAAAUAAAUAAUGAUCAAAUGAAUUAAUAAAAUGAAAGUAAUAAACAAUACUUCUACAUGCCUAGCCAAAACUGUGAUAUGGUACAAAAUUGAAUAAUCCGCCUAUAAAAUAACUAGACUCUGUUGUAAAGUACCUGCAUAUAAUCAUAUAAAGAUGGAAAAUGUGUACUUUUUAGUGUACAGAUAACGUUUGUUAUAAGCGAGGAGUUACGUUUCUGCGAAUCGUCACAAACAUCGAAAAAGCAUGAAACCGAAAACGUACAAAUUCCCAUACAUUUUCGAAGCGAUAUACCAUGAAAGGUCUCAAUUUGUUGUCACCGGAGUCAAAUGGGGCACAAACUUUUCAACUUGGGACAUUCCACUCUUUGUGACUCUGCCUUAAUGUACAUGACUACAUCUGUAAGAGAAUAUGAAUUUGCAAAUGGCAUGAUGAAGGCAGUAGCUGUGCAUUAUCAAGUACAAUGAUACAAUACUAAGGAAGACAUACAAUUAUGUGUUAACUCUGUUUUGUCCUAUAGUUAUUUCCUGUAACACAAGAAAUAAGUGGAACUUCUGAUAUAAUGGAAUGAUUAUUUCUUGUUUUUAAUAUAACUUAUGAAAUUCAUUGCGGCUGAAAAAAAUCCUGAAAUAUGAUGAAAAUAUGAAUUGAAUUGAAUUAAAUGAAUUGAAUAGCUAUUCUUCUUGUUUUGGUAGUGGUGCAGAAAGGCAUUAUAGGAAAAUAAGCUGUGGAGUCUGAAAUUACAUGCAAAGUUCAGGCAAUAACACCACAUUGUAUCAUUUUAAAAAUAAAUUUUAAAAAAAUUUCAAGUUAUAGUACAGCAAAUACUUUAAAUGCUAAUGGAAUACAAUAUGUUCUUAGAAAGGUAUAUUUUAAAUUAUUAAAAAUGUAUUUAUAUAGCCUCUAUAUUUUACAUGUAUUUAUAUUGAUCAAUAUAUUUUACAACACUACUUAGUAUAUGAUAUUAGAAAACAUGACAUUCAGAAAAUCUUCAAUAGACGAGUGAAUUGAAUUACAUUCUGCUUUCAUUAGUAAGGCUUUUCAUUUGUGCAAUGUGUGCACAGUGAUAAUGGAACGGUUUCUUUUCUUUACAAUAAUGAUUUGGUUUUUGAAUUCAUAGCAUAGUUUUACAAGCUAGAAGUGGGAUAAAAUGUCAUCUUACUUCUCUUCAGUAGAGAUGAAAUUAUUCCACUUCAAAAUUCUGAGUAAACAUAUUUCAAAAAGUAAAGCCCCAUAGAAAAUUUACAUGCUGUCUCAUUGCAUGAUAUAUUUUUAUAUAAUGUGUGGAUGUUAUCUACAAAUGAGCCAUGAACACUAAUAUUCCUAGCAAAUAUAAUUUUUACUUUGCAACCAACUACACUAAAUGAUCAACCAAUACAUAGGAUAUGAACACACAGAAGCAAGGAGAUCAGGUGCAGAAUGACAAAUAUACUGACAUUUUCCAUUUCGGCUGACUGCCAGAUUAAGAUUUCAUGGGCUUUGAUAGGCUUAAUUUGUGAAAAUAUUCCUUCAAAUGUGGUAUUAGUAUUGUAUAAAACAUGUUUAAACACUUUAAUAUAAGAUAUGGCAACAAGAACUUGUAUUAUGUUAAUGUUGCACGACUGCAAGUAGGAGAAAUUAAGAGAAAAUAAAAAAUAUUUAAUAAAAAUA